rnacentral:rRNA from 1 species
UACGUAGGGGGCAAGCGUUGUCCGGAUUUAUUGGGCGUAAAGAGCUCGUAGGCGGUCUGUCGCGUCGGACGUGAAAACCCAGGGCUCAACCCUGGGCCGGCGUUCGAUACGGGCAGACUAGAGUUCGGUAGGGGAGACUGGAAUUCCUGGUGUAGCGGUGAAAUGCGCAGAUAUCAGGAGGAACACCGGUGGCGAAGGCGGGUCUCUGGGCCGGUACUGACGCUGAGACGCGAAAGCGUGGGGAGCGAACAGG